UACGAAGGGGGCUAGCGUUGCUCGGAAUCACUGGGCGUAAAGCGCACGUAGGCGGAUCGUUAAGUCGGAGGUGAAAUCCUGGAGCUCAACUCCAGAACUGCCUUCGAUACUGGCGAUCUUGGAGUCCGGGAGAGGUGAGUGGAACUCCGAGUGUAGAGGUGAAAUUCGUAGAUAUUCGGAAGAACACCAGUGGCGAAGGCGAGUCCCUGGACAACUCCUGACACUGAGGCACGAAAGCUAGGGGAGCAAACAGG
rnacentral:rRNA from 1 species